CGCUAGUUACAGUGGAGCGUUGUUACGGGCGGCUGGUGUCUGUGGUGUAAAACCGAUGCGAUGCGCGUCUCUCUGAUUUUGGUUGUUUGAAAGCCGAUCAUCUCAUCUCGUUCGUGAAUUCUUCUUCUUCUUCUUCUUCUUCUUCUUCUUCUUCUUCUUCUUCUUCUUCUAGGGUUUUGGUUUUGUUGGAAGCAAAUUUAUUAUGAUCCUAUCAUCAUCGCUCCCUCCUAGGUUUUUUUUGGAAGAAAAAAUUUAUGACCCGAUCGAUCAUCAUCGCUCGCUCGCUCGCUCCCUCCUCCUACGUGCAGGGAAAGUGGAUUUGGAUCUAACACGCUCUUGGAUU